AAGAGUGCGUAAUAGCUCACUGGUUAAGCGUUUUUGCGCCGAAAAUGCUCGGGACUAAGAAAUUUGCCGAAGCUGUGGGAUAUCGUAAGAUAUCGGUAGGGGAGCGUUCCGCUGUAGGGUGAAGUGUUUUCGGAAGGAGGCAUGGACGAAGCGGAAGUGAGAAUGUCGGUUUGAGUAACGAAAACAUUGGUGAGAAUCCAAUACCCCGAAAACCUAAGGGUUCCU
rnacentral:rRNA from 13 species